rnacentral:tRNA from 1 species
GCCUAUUGGCAAGGGGUGUAAGGCUUUUUGUUUGCUGGCGGCAAUCUGUAUCAACGCUGAUAAUCAUCUGUUUUUGAUGAUUUGUAAUCAUCAGGUAAUGGUUCGAUUCCGUUCGGGGGCACCA